UGGUCACGAAACUUCCCCGUCACUCUAUGGGAGAGCUUUGUGUGCCGCCAACUUUCACCGCGGGGCGGCGCCACCAUUGUUAGGGGGGCACCCGCGGCGUCGAAGCAGUCGGCGAGGCGACGGCGUGGUGCGUUUGCUUUUUUGUGUCGUGCUGUAUCGCGUCUGUGCGGUGCUUUCUGUGCGUCUUAUCGUAUUCAAACGUGACGAAUACUUAGCGGCAACGUGACGAACGAUGCAGAAGACGUCCUGCGUGCCGCACAGUCGCUCCGGCGAACAAGGCGCUCGUCAAGGCCAGCGCGGCGACGGCGUGCUGUGUUCGCUUUGUUUGCGUCGUUUUAUCGCGUGUGUGCGGUGCUGUGUGUGCCUGUGACCAUUUUCGUAUGCGACAAAUAGUUAGCGGCAGCUUCACGAACGAUGACGAAGACAUGCUGUGUGCCGCACUGUCGCUCCGGCUAUAGGAACCGCUGAAAAAGUAUCGUUGUUUGUGUUCCCCAGCGGCCCCGAAAGCCGCGAGCAGUGGAGGCGGGCGAUACCACGUAAAGAAACGGGCGCAUUCUCGUUGAGUUCACCAAACGUUCGAGCAUGCGAAAAACAUUUCUAUAACGAGGACAUUAUUCGCGAAGACGAAUGCGUUAUAGAAGAGGUUGCCGCGCGAAAGAGUGAAGCUGAGGGCCGGCGCUUUUCCUCGAUUAUUUGAAUGUCUCCCGGCUUACUUGGCCAAAAAGAAGCCGGCACCUCGGCAGUUGCCUUACAGGCGGCCGGUUAAGCGUCAUUGGGAGUCUUCGGAGGAUUCCAGUGGGGAAAAUGCUGUGCAGAGGAUCCGCGUGGACGUCUCCGACGAAUUGGAUGCAGUAAAUCAUGAAAGUAUGCCGACGGUAAACACGGCUGAGGACAAAGCUUGCAAAAGAGAGGAGGCUGUGUGCAGCGCUUCGGAACAGUUGUUUGUGUUCUUCACUGUUUUUCACUGUUUAAGUUCUUCACUGUUUGCCUUCAGUUUCUGCCUUCAAAAUAAAAUGAUUAUAGCCAGCAA